rnacentral:snoRNA from 1 species
AUGGCAUGGUGAGGACAAUCGGCACAAAGCUUCUUGAAUCUUUCCCAAGCUUGACAGAAAUUCUUAUCUUUACAUUGUUGAAAGUUGGCAAUCCUUUGUCUUCCUUU